UUCGCAAUGCCCGAAAGGGUGACGAAGCGACGCCGCGUGGGUGAGGAAGGCCUUCGGGUUGUAAAGCCCUGUCAGGAGUUAAGAAAUGUAAGUGCGCUAAUAUCGCAUUUAUUUGACGAAGGCUCCAAAGGAAGUCACGGCUAACUCUGUGCCAGCAGCCGCGGUAAUACAGAGGUGGCAAGCGUUGUUCGGAAUUAUUGGGCGUAAAGAGCACGUAGGUGGGUUUGUAAGUCAGAUGUGAAAGCCUUCUGUUCAACGGAAGAAUUGCAUCUGAAACUGCGAGUCUUGAGUGUAGGAGGGGAGAAUGGAACUUCUGGUGGAGCGGUGAAAUGCGUAGAUAUCAGAAGGAACGCCGGCGGCGAAAGCGAUUCUCUGGCCUAUUACUGACACUCAGUGUGCGAAAGCUAGGGGAGCAAACGGGAUUAGAUACCCCGGUAGUCCUAGCCGUAAACGAUGGGCACUAA
rnacentral:rRNA from 1 species